UGACUACAUCUUAAUCAAAGUCUUUAAACAAAAAAAAAAAAAUUGGUGCAGCCCAAAGUGGGAAGGCUUUUAUCAAGUUCUUAUAACCACACUAACAGCAGUAAAGAUUGCAGAAAGACCUUCGUGGAUACAUCUAAGCCACAUCAAGAAACAGUUGGUUUGUUCUGUUCAGGACAGUGAAGUUGUUGUUUAGUUAAUUUAGGUAAGAGAAGUGUGGGUAAGUUAGUGGACCCGGAAGACGUGACCCCUGUGUAUUUUUCACGGGAGCAAGGGAAGUUUAACCUAGAAGAUAUUGUAGGUAAAAUUAGUUAGCACUGUCCUGUCUACACAGAACAGAAGAAAUGGCUGAUUUUCUGAAAAUAAUCAUUGUGAUCCUACCAAUCAUGCUGGUGUGUGAGACCCCGCCUGGCUGGAAGAAGCAAGAGAAGCAAGAUGAUUCUAAGAAGAAGGAGAAAGGCGAAUGGCAGCAGAUUAAAGAAGGAAAGUAUCAGAACACCUACGAGAUCAACAUGUGGUACACUGAAAAAAAUGGACUUAGUGGGUCUUUGAAUUUACAUAAAAUAAACAUGUAUAUGCAACACAAAAUAUUUAUAUUCCUUGUGUAAACAUAAUUUAAUUGAUUAGGAUUAAAAUGUUUAGUUUGAAUGUAAAAUGAACACAUUAUUCUCACAUUGAUUAAAAUUGAUUGAAUUGAAUACUUAAAGCAAUAAAAUUGGGUUUGCACACAAAACGGCACCUCCUGAGCAGCAGGUGGCAGUAAAGCUCAAUGAAAAGGACGUCAAUUGCCAUAAAAGAAGAAUAAAUAUCGUUUGUUUUGGGCGACAAAAUGAAGACUCAGCACAGCAGUCAGUCAGAAGAACUCUCUCAGACGGACACCACAUUAUUAAAGUAAGUUCUAUUAUUUAUUUAUGCUUGCUUUAUACGUGAUACAUCUUAACGAGAUAGACAGUUUUUUUUUUUACAAUAUGUAGCCAUUGCAAUGACUUGUAGUAAAAAUUCGUUUGGAGGAGGUUGGUGGAGUAAGUUAACGUUACAGUCAGUCAGUCAGUCAGUCAGUCAGUCAGUCAGUCAGUCAGCAGGCUCAUAAAGAAAAACAGCGUUUUAAAAACGUCAGCUGUUUAACGUUAUUUCACGUUUGGUUGUUUUAUCUGAGUUGAAAACUGUCAGCUUUGAGUUGACUUUUGAGGCACUUUUUACUCAGUUGUUCUAUGGAAACGUGUCAGGACAAAUAAAACGCUAACCAAAAGUUAUUCUGUCCAGAGUAACAUUAUCCAUGUAAGUAAUUUACCAGAUGAUAUCAAUUGACUACAUUAAUAAUGACAUUGCGUAUAAAACAAAGUGUCUGCUUAAUCAGAUUAACAGACCCGCGUCAGUUAUUCGUGACUUCGCUACGCCACGAGCAACACUUGAUUCAAUUAGAAAAAGCUUUUUUUAAAUGUCUCGCGUGACGUCUGGUAUAUUAACUAAAAAAAAAAUCGCUUUGAAGUGGCCACACCUUAAAGCUGACGUUUUCAGAAGAGCACCUUGUUGUUUUAAGAUCUCAUUUUGUCCAAAAUUGAGUACUAUGACAGAUAUAAUACUUAAUUCAUUAUUGCUCUGUGUAUGUGUGGUCUCAAUCAUUUGAGGUUAUGUGUUGAUUUCACAUAUUUCCUCUUAUAGGUCCAUCAUCCUUGCAUGCGCUAUACACUCAAAAGCAUUGAUAAAUGCUGAAUUUAAAAGAAUCACUACUGUCUUAUGUUCCUGUGUCACCUGGACCUCCAAUCCAAAAACCUGACGAAACUCUUCUAUCAGAAAGGAGGACAGCUAGCAAAAAGACUUCAAACAAUUAAUGAUCAAAUGACAGAUGGCAUGGAUGAAGUCAGCAUCAAUGAGGUCAUUUGAAGACACCACUGUUGGGAUUUGUGCUCUCAAACAACAUGCUUCUUUUGAUGAAGAAGAGGAUCUUUGUAUACUGCCCUACAAAGCGAAAGCGCAGUAACUACGCAUUUGGUCAAAAUUGAGUUAAGGGUUAAAAUGGGCUUUGUGAGAUCUGUUGUGUCUUGUGACAAAGUCUCCUGGUUAAAUUUUGUCCCAUUUCAGAGAAAUGUGUGUGCCAAAAUUGCAGUAACAUGUUUGACUGGCUGGUGUAAAAAACUUUAAAGCCAUUUUUCUCAGUUUCAGUGUUUGCGUAGAUACUGCACUUAGCCUUUGGAGGGCAGUAUAGUCCUGGAAGGCAUGAAGGUGUUGCAACAUCUUGCCAUGUUGUUUGAGCUGAUGUAUGCCUUAAACCUGAGCUAUCCUGAUCUCUGCUUUAUUUUUGAGGAAAUCCAAAAGAUUUUAAUGGAACUGCAUUGAGCGUAACUUUGACAAACUGUUUCUUUCAGUGAAAGGAUCAGAAAGACUGUGCUGCUCAUUUUUGACUUUGUUUAUCUGUUUUAAGUGUUUUCUCUUAUUAAAGGCGGAGUCCACGAUGUUUGAAAAACGCAUUGGAAAAGGAGACGGGCCGACUAUCAGUUUCAGUUUCAUUUUAUUUAAGCAGGGACAAUGCACAAAAUUAACAUUAACCUUGUAUAAGAACAAGGAGAGAUGCCUUGUGCCAGGUUGUAGCACAAGUGCUAUUUUCCGCCUGUAGUCCCUUGGCAGGUCAAUAACACAAUAAUAUAAAAUUCCAUAUAAAUAAAAAACAUUUAAAUAUAAAAUUUACAUCACAAUCACUCUUAAUUUACAAUGAAUACUUUCAUGUUCUCAAUGUACCCCCCCUCCAAAAAUUAAUCCCACCCAAACACAAAUUAUACAAUAAAUCCUUACCUAUCCCAAUUUCAAUCACACACAAACACACACACACACACACACACAUCACAAGUGUGUACAGUUUUGUUGUGACAGUAACCAAGCUUUUAUCAAACCCGAGAAGAUGAAUGGAUUUGUAGAAGUAAUAAUGUGUGUGGGGAGAGUAUUCCACUGAGUUGUAGCCACAAAAGAAAAAGAUGACUUACCAAAAGAAGUUCUACGAUUGGGAAUAUUGCACUCUCCUCUAGUGGCUGAUCGAGUAGCUCUUUUCUUUUCUGAGUUAAGUGCAAUACUUUUUUUAGUGGAGGAGCGACACCAUUAUGAAUUAUUUUAAAAAGUAGACAAACAUUUGAAUACAUUAUUAAAUUUUCAAAACUUAAGAUAUUAUAUUUAGUCAUUAUUUUACAGUGGUGAUAUUGACGUGUUUUUUUUAUCAUGGAUCUUAAGAGCUGUUUUAUAUAACGUUUCAAGUGGUCUCAAUGCUGUCUUACUUGCUUGAGACCAAGUUGUCAUACAAUACAAAAAGUGCGGAACAAUCAUUGCAUUUAAAUAAGUGGUUGAUGCCUCAAUAGUAAGAGAGUUUCUUAUAUGUCUGAAAUUAAAAAGAUUAAAUUUAAGUGUACUACUCAAUUUUUUUUACAUGUUUUUUAAAAGUAAAAAACAAACCUACCUUACAAAACACACUUAUAGCCAAUUAAAUCAAAUCAAAUGCCGGUUUGCGUAUGUGUGGGGGCGGGUCUAUCAACAGAAGGUCCAGAUUCUAUUGGGGUAGGGGCGUGUUUGUUUAGGUGAUUUCAAAUAUCAACAUUGGCUUUCAAACAUCAUGGACUCCGCCUUUAAUACAUUAACAGUUUGCUGCUCAGAGUCGAUUUUGGAAAUGGUUGUUGUAUUUUGUUUUUGUUGAAUCUUUGAUUAACAGUUUAUACAAAUGCUGUAGCUCUGACUUUCUUAAGGAUUGAUAUUUUCCAGUUUGUAAAUCCAUUUUAAAAAUAAUAGUACUUACUGUUUUGCAUGUCACUUGGAAUGCAGUGUUUGUGCUUUAGCACUUCUAAAUCUACUGUGAUUGUAACUAUUUUAAACAUUUGGGUCAGUUUCACAGAUGGCUUUUCCUAGUCCCAGACUUUUGCAAUGCCUUAAUUUGAAAACAUAUUGCACUGACAUAUCUUGACAUAUAUCAGUGCCAUUGUUUUGUCUAAAGAUGUACUCCAGUGUUGUUUUUGUAAGGUAGGUUUGUUUGUAAACUUUUUUUGUAAAACAUAUCUUAAUAUAACAAGGGCCUAGUCAUGGCUUAAUCUACAACCUUUCUGGGAAAUUGUCCCUUUAUGUAUUUUCUGCAUGUGCUUAUUUUUGUAAUAGUUAUUGACUGUUAAUGAAUUAAUGUGUAGUGAUUUAAAUGAAUUGGUGAUCUGAAAGCAGUGGUUUGCCUCAAUAUCACUAAACAAUUGUACAAAACUCUUUGCUUUUUAUGCCAAUGCAAAUGUAUUUUGUAUUUAAAAAACAAUAAAUAACAUUUGGAUAAUUAUGGGUGAUUAUUCUGGUGCCAGAGACAAUGAAAUUGCUUUAGAGUUACAUAAUCCCAUAAUAUAAGCAUUAAAAAAGCAUGUUGGAAUUACAGAUGAAAAUCUAGUCCCCUUACAUAAUAAAAUUACUUAAACAUUACAAAAUAAAUGUGUUAUAGUAAAGAGAAGUAUCACUUUGAGUCAACAUAUUUAUAUUAGACUACUUAAAAUAAUUAAAAUGUUUUGGUCUGACACAUAAAAAUUAAUUGAGGACAAUUAUGUUGGUUUUACACAAUCGGAUUAUGUGGGACCGAUGUACACAUUAAAAUUAACUCAUUCACCGCCAGCCUUUUUGAGAAAAGUUGCCCACCUGCAUUUUUGUGAUUUUAACAAAAUUUUCACAAAAUUCCUUGCAGGAAAAAUCAUUUUCUAUAAAUAUAUAAACAUACAAAUUAUAUCAAAUUAAAGAACACACCCUCUGCUUUCAAACAAACAAUACACAAACAAACAAACAAACAAACAAAAUGGGGAAAAAACGUUUCAUUAUAUAUUUACUUUUUCUACUUAAUUUAUCCACUGAAAUAUGGAUAUUUCUCUUCAAAAAUUUUGAGCAAAAAGCUUAAAAAAUAGCGUUUUGUAAAGGAAUUUAUGUUAGAGAUCAGACUCAGAAUGACUAUCAAACAUAAAGGCAGUUAAAAUAAAACAUAAACUCUUUUUUUACUACCGUUUUUGAUAAAUUCGAUAAUCCAUCUGGUGGAUAAAAGCGGUAUUACACUUUCACUUUGAAAUUCGUCCAAAAAGGCAUAUUUAUUAGUUAAAUAUGAACUCAUAAAUGACGAGAUAACUCGUCAAUGGCGGGGAAUGAGUUAAGUAAAUUGAAAGGAUUUUUUUCAGUGUACCGUUAUGCAAAAUAUACUGAUUUGAGUAGAAAUCACACAAACUGUUAUGUCUGUUCAAAGAUGCCCAAGUCAGGAAUGAAUCCGCAUGUAGUUCCUGAACCUGUGAUAAAGUUUCCGACCUGUUUCCUGAAUGUCUAGUAUCAGCUUAUUCACCACAGUUUCUGAACAUGACUUUGCAGAACCGCCUGCCUCAUGUGGAUAUUAAGAAACUGACUUGAGUAUACCGUUUAAUGUUAGUGAUAAAAUGUACGACCCAGUCCACCUCCGAGUGCACAGUUUAUUUGUAAGAGAACACUGUGACUAUGGGAGAUGAGGUUUAUCUUGGAAAAGUGCCCAAACAGAACUAUAAGCGCAUAUUCACUCCUUGUACUAAAAACCAGACAGGUCAUUCUAAGUUUCAGACAUGUAUUUUAUGGGAAACUUUGCAGUGGAUGAUUAUGAAGUAUUUUCACGAGUCAAUCCUUGAUAGUUGAUUACUAAAGUACCUUAGAAGGUAGCGGGGUGUACCUGGAAAAGAAACAGGAUAAAUGAUAAACAGGAGGGAAUGUUGGAGAAAAUGAUUUUAUUACCAUUUAUGAAUAUGUUUCUUCAUAACCAAUACUUUGCUUCUUCCUUAUAGCAACAUAAAAAGUGUACGCGCUGUCCCUUAAGUUUUAACACCCCCCCACCCUUCUUAGUUUGGGGUGGUGGAAAGUUUACUUAUCUAUUUAGAACACAGCUUUCACCUAUAGUCUAGUUCAAAGAUGUUUUUAGAUGUGUGUGUAUGUGCGUGUUACAUUCAUGACGUAUGUUGCCUUGCACUUAUCUUUUUUUGGGUGUCAACCCAUCUAAUAAAAUGAGCUUGCAGACAAAGAAUCGGAGAGAGACAGCUUGAGCAUUUCUUGAGAAGAAAUCUCUCUGGUUCUUUCCCUCGCGAGUUUUAAACCUGUAUUCUUGGUCUGACGUGUCUUAAUUUUGUUAAGGUAUAAGUUAAAUAAACCUAACAUAAACAGCGUAAGUUGGGAAAGGAUUUAUUUUGUGUUGCUUUCACAAACACGUGAAGGAAUAAUGUCGUCGUCUUACAGUAAAUUCCUGCCUAAAGGUUCAUUAUGCAGCUCAUUAUGCAAGUCUUUUGUUUCCUCAGCUGUCAAUCACAGAUUAUUCAAGAGCUUCCCACCUUCCUUGCAUAUUGACUUUGAAAUUGCAAAUUAAUAUAUUGUUUUAUGUGAAUGAGUAGGCAGAAUGAUUUUCACAUAAUUUUAAAGAAAAAAACUCUAGACUAUAAGAUCCUGUUUCGAAAAGUCUUGGGAAAACAUGUUAAGAAAGAGUUUUGUGGACUUAUAUCAGUCACUUAAAAAUUUUGCUUUUUCAAAAACCAUGCAUAAACAUUUUUCUCUCAAAAAUACAAACAUGUACAUACAUGUUGAUCAUAUAAUAUUGUAGCCCAGUUUGUGAUGAACACAGUGUUAUGAGAUUUUUGUCAUUAUUAUAUUUUAAAGGGACACUUCACCGAUUUGCAUAAAGCUUUGUAUCCAAUAAUAGCGGAAGGAAAUCGCUAUGAUAUGGAAGAGGGUGAUUUCGCAACCAUGAUGCUCUAAUCCCGCUGUUCAUUGCUGUUAUGAGCAACAAUACAGCAAAGAGCUGAGGCAGAUGGAGGAACAGAAGCCCGAGUAGUAGACACCGCAACCCUUGGCCUGCGCUGCGUAGAGAAGCCCGGACUGGCUCGAGCUGGACGGACUAGUAGUGGCUGUACUUUCGCUGUGUGCUUUCUAUUUAACAUUUCUGCAUCAGAUCAGGAUAUGAACGUUUGUUUUGUGAAUGUUUCCGGGCACUUUGCGAGUGUUUAUUUCAAAGACGUGUUUCGGCUUACGAGCACAGAGCUAAGGCAGCGCGUCUGUGGAGGUAUUGUGCAGUGGACGCGUUUGUGUGCAGGAUGCAGAGAUAAACGGAUGUCUGACUAAAGUGAGUGUUUCUAUUUUCUUUGUUGUACUAACGUGGCAUUUAUGUACACAAUAGCAUAUCUGAGCGUUGUUUUAUAUGUCUAUAUUGUGAAAGCAAUGAGGCUGAUAUAACACAGAUGUAAUUAUAAUUACAGUAAACAAAAGAAAAUAGGUAAAACUAAAUAAACAUUUAAUAUGGUUACCCUUUUUUAAGUACUUGAAAAGACAUUUGUACUGCGGAUCUGACACCUCACAUUACUGUUUGAAUAAGACUUUGCUACACACCAGACCAGAGUGUUAUGUGUAACACAACGUAACAUCACGUUUAAAGUAAGUCAUGAUUGGUUUCUGUCAGACAUAGUGGCGGCUAUUUUCUUUGUUUUACUAACGUGGCAUUUAUGUGCAUAUCUGAGCGGUGUUCCGAUUAAUGGGAGUGGCUUGCAGAGCUGCGAUUGUGGUGCAUAGUGGGAGUUGUAGUUUUUCAUACAAAUGUGCUCUAUAGUCACGUUCUGUCUUUUCUCGGUCAAAUAGGCACACAUUUCUAAAUUUAUGUUACAUUUCGACUACAAAUAUGACCCACUUCCAAUAAAGAUUAAUGUUUCUAUCGAUGAAAUUGCCCUUUAAGCAACCGAAAAAAGCACAAAUGUCAGUGCAGGUAAAAAUUUCUUCAGGGCCCUAAAAACCCCUUAGACCCCAGAGGGUUAACUAGAUUUUUCUCAAAAUUAACUUUCCUGACCUCAAACAGCUGUCAUUUUUUGUCAGAUUCCAACAAUACAUCAUACAUUGUUUUGAAUUUUUUGUCAAUAGAGAAUGUCAAAAUAUAAAUUAAUUUUAGAAAAUUAGCUCAUUCUGAAUUUGCCAGCAUGGCCAAACGGUGCAGCAGCAAACAGAAAUGGAGAAAAAAGUAUUUUCUGAACGGAAAAUUAAUAAAUAAACUGAUGGUUCUGACAAAAUUUAAAUAGGUUGAUGUAAGUUAAUUGCUUUGGCAAAGAAAGAGAUGUAACAGGGCCAGUUGUUUUCUUUCUUUUCCAUGGGUUUAAUAGACAAGUUCAUAUGUUCUUUAUGCUGAGUAUGAUUUUGCUAAUAAUAAACGUACAUAAAGCAUCUGUAUUUUGUCCAUGGCCAUAUUGAUUGGAGUAUUAAAAACUUAAAAAUAUAUAUAAAAAAGUCUUAAAUUAAGGUAAAUUUAGAAUAAAUAAAAAUGUGAGCUUAAUUUACAGUUAAUCAUGAUUUAACUCAUGACCAUCAUGCGAUUAAUCUAGAUGAAAUAUUUUAAUUUAUUGACAGCCCUAAUUUAAACAUACUCAGUUAUAUGCAGUACUGUUGGUUAGUAGCCUUAUUUUUUUUUAGGUUUAAUUACACAGAAUUAAUGUACUUCUGAUAAAUAGAUGUCAAAACUGUACACUGUUAACGAUUUCUGUAAAUUACAAAGUAUUUUACUGUAAUAUGAACUGUAUUUUACUGUAGGGCAUGUUAUACAGUAUGUUGCUGUAUUUUGAUGUAGCAUUGUGGGACAUAUCAUCUUUGUGCCAGUAAAAUACUGUAUUUUUUAUUUACUGUAAAAUUUACAGUUAAUUAAAAAUACUGUAUUUUAAUGGCAGGUGGUGCUAAUUUGUUUUAAGGUUUUGUGUCGUUGCAUAGUUAAGCCUAAAGGGGGCAUUGAGUUCAUGUUGAGUGUCAAGCCUUACAAUCCAUAAUAGAAAGCAAAUUUAUACAAAUAAUGUAAUGUUAUUGUAUUUAUAUAUUGAUUAAAAAUGUAAAAAAAAAAUAAAAUUCAGAAGAGGAAAACAAAGUCCUAAAAACAAUCAAACAACUAAUUAACGCAA